rnacentral:rRNA from 1 species
CCUACGGGUGGCAACAGUGGGGGAUAUUGCACAAUGGGGGGAACCCUGAUGCAGCGACGCCGCGUGGGUGAAGGAGUAUUUCGGUAUGUAAAGCCCUAUCGGCAGGGAAGAAUUUAGACGGUAGCUGACUAAGAAGCCCCGGCUAACUACGUGCCAGCAGCCGCGGUAAGACGUAGGGGGCAAGCGUUAUCCGGAUUUACUGGGUGGAAAGGGAGCGUAGACGGCAGUGCAAGUCUGGAGUGAAAGGCGGGGGCUCAACCCCCGGACUGCUCUGGAAACUGUGCGGCUGGAGUGCAGGAGAGGUAAGUGGAAUUCCUGGUGUAGCGGUGAAAUGCGUAGAUAUUAGGAGGAACACCAGUGGCGAAGGCGGCUUACUGGACUGUAACUGACGUUGAGGCUCGAAAGCGUGGGGAGCAAACAGGAUUAGAUACCCUAGUAGUC